CUUUAAACAGAUAAUUAUAGAUGACAUCUUUAUAGAUGUCAUGCGGGGAGUGUUAUGUUAAUUGGACUAAGCAUUUUAGGUUUUUUAUUUGGGACUCUAAUUUUGAAAAAAUUACCUUACUGAGCAGGGAGCAGCCAUUUUAGUUUCAGUUUCGCUCAACUCUCUCAAGCAUUAAGCUCCAUGUGACUGCUGCUCCAGUUUUCUUUAAUGUUUAUGCCUUCGAAAGCAUUGUCAUUUCACUCUUCUUUGAAUCAUAUUGGAGUAAACAUCAGGAGUUUUUCUUGGAAAACU